GAUGAACGCUGGCGGCGUGCCUAAUACAUGCCAGUCGAGCGAACGGACGAGAAGCUUGCUUCUCUGAUGUUAGCGGCGGACGGGUGAGUAACACGUGGAUAACCUACCUAUAAGACUGGGAUAACUGCGGGAAACCGGAGCUAAUACCGGAUAAUAUUUUGAACCGCAUGGUUCAAAAGUGAAAGACGGUCUUGCUGUCACUUAUAGAUGGAUCCGCGCUGCAUUAGCUAGUUGGUAAGGUAACGGCUUACCAAGGCAACGAUGCAUAGCCGACCUGAGAGGGUGAUCGGCCACACUGGAACUGAGACACGGUCCAGACUCCUACGGGAGGCAGCAGUAGGGAAUCUUCCGCAAUGGGCGAAAGCCUGACGGAGCAACGCCGCGUGAGUGAUGAAGGUCUUCGGAUCGUAAAACUCUGUUAUUAGGGAAGAACAUAUGUGUAAGUAACUGUGCACAUCUUGACGGUACCUAAUCAGAAAGCCACGGCUAACUACGUG
rnacentral:rRNA from 1 species